rnacentral:rRNA from 1 species
GGAUUGCCUUAGUAACGGCGAGUGAAGCGGCAAAAGCUCAAAUUUGAAAUCUGGUACCUUCGGUGCCCGAGUUGUAAUUUGGAGAGGGCAACUUUGGGGCCGUUCCUUGUCUAUGUUCCUUGGAACAGGACGUCAUAGAGGGUGAGAAUCCCGUGUGGCGAGGAGUGCGGUUCUUUGUAAAGUGCCUUCGAAGAGUCGAGUUGUUUGGGAAUGCAGCUCUAAGUGGGUGGUAAAUUCCAUCUAAAGCUAAAUAUUGGCGAGAGACCGAUAGCGAACAAGUACAGUGAUGGAAAGAUGAAAAGAACUUUGAAAAGAGAGUGAAAAAGUACGUGAAAUUGUUGAAAGGGAAGGGCAUUUGAUCAGACAUGGUGUUUUGUGCCCUCUGCUCCUUGUGGGUAGGGGAAUCUCGCAUUUCACUGGGCCAGCAUCAGUUUUGGUGGCAGGAUAAAUCCAUAGGAAUGUAGCUUGCCUCGGUAAGUAUUAUAGCCUGUGGGAAUACUGCCAGCUGGGACUGAGGACUGCGACGUAAGUCAAGGAUGCUGGCAUAAUGGUUAUAUGCCGCCCGUCUUGAAACACGGACCU